rnacentral:lncRNA from 1 species
CCUAUUUAAACCCCCUACCCUUCCUUCGGGGCUUUACUCCUCCUAAAAGACGGCACCUUUCUUUCGUCUGAGAGCCUAGCUACUCAGCCACUCCCUCGGUGCCCCUGCCAACUUCGAGUGUCCUCUGCGCCGGUCUUUGCCGUCUCUCUGCCAUCCUCAGCCCCCCGAUUCCUCUCUAAGGGGUUUCCCCGCCAGGUCCUCCACCCCAGAGGCCAUCCUCAAGAGGAUGCCAAGAGCUUGGAGGAAGGCAAGGAGGAGAACAGCG